GGGGAUUUAGCUCAGUGGCGUAGCACCUGCCUGGCAAGCACGCGGUCCUGAGUUCGAUCCUCAGUACCUA
rnacentral:tRNA from 1 species